GUGCUCGCGUGAUGAACGAAGUACUUCGGUAUGUAAAGUUCUUUUAUCAGAAGAAGAGAAAGCAAAUGGCGAACCUAUUUGUUUGCCGGUACUUGAUGAAUAAGCCCCGGCUAAUUAUGUGCCAGCAGCCGCGGUAAGACAUAAGGGGCAAGUGUUAUCCGGAAUUAUUGGGCGUAAAGGGUGCGUAGGCGGUCUAGUAAGUCAGUGGUGUAAUGGCAACGCUUAACGUUGUCCGGCUAUUGAAACUGCUAAACUUGAGUUAAAUAGAGGCGAGUGGAAUUCCAUGUGUAGCGGUAAAAUGCGUAAAUAUAUGGAGGAACACCGGAGGCGUAGGCGGCUCGCUGGGUCUUAACUGACGCUGAGGCACGAAAGCGUGGGGAGCAAACAGGAUUAAAUACCCUGGUAGUCCACGCCGUAAACGAUGAGUACUAAGUGUCGGGUUAAACCGGUACUGAAGUUAACACAUUAAGUACUCCGCCUGAGUAGUACGUACGCAAGUAUGAAACUUAAAGGAAUUGACGGGACUCCGCACAAGCGGUGGAUCAUGUUGUUUAAUUCGAAAAUACCCGAAAAACCUUACCAGGUCUUGACAUGUUUUUGCAAAAUGAUAGUAAUAUCGUGAAGGUUACCAAAAACACAGGUGGUGCAUGGUUGUCGUCAGCUCGUGUCGUGAGAUGUUAGGUUAAGUCCUAAAACGAGCGAAACCCUUAUCGUUAGUUGCCAGCACGUUAUGUGGGGACUUUAACGAGACUGCCAAUGAUAAAUUGGAGGAAAGGUGAGGAUCACGUCAAAUCAGCAUGCCCCUUAUGACCUGGGCUACAAACGUGAUACAAUGGCUGUUACAAAAGUAACUAAAAAA
rnacentral:rRNA from 1 species